GAUGAUGGAACUAGGAGCGUGAAAUUGAAGGAAAAAUGGGGGAACAAAGGAGGCUUUCGCACAUUCUCGAGAGGUUUGCAGGGGGCGAGGGGGCAUUAACGACUUGUCGAUAAUGAGAGGCUUUUGCUUUUAUUUAUUCAUUUUUUGUGGAAAGUGCUUGGAAUUGGGGGGACACGACAGUUGAGAUUUUUGUUCUUGUUUCGGUUGUGACGAAACACUUGUUAAAUUUUUAUUUAAUUGUGGGAGUUAGAGAAUUUUUAAUUGUAAAUGGUAACUUUCGAUGAGUUUAAGAAUUUUUGUCAGUGGACCCCUUAAGAUCUAGAAUUUUCCUGAAUUCCCUGAGACCUGCAUUUUUCGUCGAUUGUCUGUGUGCAUUUUGAUGGAAUGCGGGAUAAUUUGACUUUAACAGCCCUAGUUUUUUCCGACCCGAGGGGUUGAAAUUUAUUCCUGUACUAGCACUAGAAUUUUAACAGGUGUUUCAAUAUAAUUUCCAUAAUUUUCCAUGUCGUCCAGUGGGGUUUCCAAAAAUGUCGGAGCACAUUUGUCAGCGGUGGCGGUCAAAGCGCUGUGUUAGUCAUAAAAUAUCCCUUUUUGCAACAUUUAUCAGCAGGAUAUAACAACUUUCACAGAAAUAACCAACCGGAUGCUGAUGUUAACCCCCUUGAGCUACCGUAGUACCGGCGUCUCGUCGGGUUAGUCCCUUUUACCACUGGCUCUCGUAGGGAGCGUCAUUAAUAACUCGAAUGGGCGCAGGAAAGGUCCGGGGAUAAGUGCGGUUUACUUUCUUAUUGGAAUAGCUUCACCCGGCACCAUCAAGCCGCACACACAGACCUGGUGCGGCCACAGUGGCUCAACCACGGCGCUAAACGCGAAACAACGGGGGCCCCCGUGAGAAAUAUCAACGCCAGCGAGAAUAUCUCCCUGGGAGAACCAGUGGUUUGUCUACAAUAAAAUAAAAACAUUGUUUUAUAGAAAAAAAUUCAUGGGGAAGAGGAGGGAAAUGGGAUGAAGACGUAAGGAUGAGAACCAACUCCAUCUGAGGAUGAAAGAGACAUCAGGAAUUGUGUGGAGUCUUCACAUCUUCACUUUUACAUUUAUGGUUUUACUUUCGUCGAGGGCUUUCACACGCUUUUAUGGCGCUAGAAAAUGAUAUUGCGUUUUUGGACAAGUCCAAUGAUUUGUUGCGGUAAAUAUUACAUCCAUCAGGAGAAGGUAUGGGAUCAUUUGAUUGGAAGUUGCUCGAAAAAUUGGUUAAUCAGUGAUAACUAAUGAACUUGGACUCAGCUCAUUUAGCUGAUCACUCAUCUGAUACCUCGGAGUAGAAUAUAUUCAGUAAAUUCACGAGAAAUUCUGGUGCAUAAUUCUCCCAGCGGAAAAGCCAACAAAAAAGGGAAAGGAAUCCCUCUCGAUCGCGGUGAUAGACAUACUCACCUACUGAUACUCAUCGGGAAUAAAAAGGAAAGCGAUCAUUGAACAGCUCUCCGGCACUCCAAACAUGACCAAAAAGUCUCUCCCCGGAGAAUAAACGAAACGGGAGGGAAAAAAAAGGGGAAUAAAAGGUCGAAAAACAGAGAAAGGAAGACGCAAUUUCUCGGUGUGGAAUCCCAUCGUGGAAGCAUCGGUAGCGGGAAAGUGGAGCGGGAUUCGCAGUAGCGUCCCCGUGGUUAAUGUUGUAUGGGUGUUUGUAAGGGCCAGGUUGGAUAGUCCUCCCUCCUAGACACGCAUUCCUGGAGAAAACCGCAUCCCGUCCUCGGGCAACGAUCCGAGAGCGAGUCCAAUCCGCACUGGCUACGGGGAUAUAUCCCUCUUCCUUCGAUGCUAUCGUCUAAGCACCACCGAGAUAUUUCUCUCUGUUACACGUACACUCCGGUGCUAACCUUCUGGAUACUUCUGGUCUCCUUUAACUUCUUCUCUUGCAUGAUCGCCGCCGCAUUUCAAACGUCAGCGGAAUAUCUUUCUACGUUGGAAAUACGAGGUGAAUGCUGGAAGAUGGGGGGAAAAUUCCGAGGGGAUUCCGAGCCAUCGGGGUCCUAAUGCUUUUUCUUUGUGGGAUUAAUUGGGGAAUCAGGGGUGAGAGGAUCACGCAGGAUUUCGAUCAUAUUGUUAUUGAAUUGAACGGUUCGAUCAACGAAAAUUGAUUGUCACUUUUAUUGGAGGAAAUGAUUCGCAAGAGCUGAGAGUAAAUUUAUCGGAACAGAAUUGAAAUUUAGAAAAAUUAUUGCGAUGAGAAAUUUUAUUCAUUUAAUCAUGCAAAUGGCCCAAUAUUAGAGAUUGAAUAGAUCAAUCAAUUCAAUACCCUCCCAUGAUCAUCAUCAUUAAUAAAAAAAAAAUUCUAUGAAUAUUAGAAAGCGAAAAAUUAGUACCUCUUGAAUUAAUGAGUUUUCACCGUUAAAUCAAUUCAGUAAACUACUCCCAUUGAGUAAAUUUAAUAAUUUUCAAUAUCUCCCCCAUCAUCAUCAUCAUCAUUAUCACCAAGAUCAUUACCCCAAAUGAUGCAAAAUAACAAGAUAACUGGCGAACCAUUAGCAAAACUAUUUUUUUACCACCCACAAAAAGCCGAAUGAGCUAAAAAUGAUAGAAUAUGUGCGUGAGCAUGUCCAAAUGGUAGCAAUUCAAUCCCCCCAGGAAUCAGAGGUGGGUCGGUAUAAUUCCGAUAGUCGCAAGAAGCAUAAUGAGAGGGCAAAACUGAGGGAACUCCGCGAAGAAAAAAAAAAGAAGUGAAACCCGACACGAAACAAGAAACGAAGGAGUAGCAAAUGAUCUUGGUGAUUUCGAUCGGUAACGCUCAGAGCAAAAAUGAGGGCAGGAGUUGAAGAAAAAAAAAAAACGAUAGGUGGAGAACAUGUAAAGGAGGAUCCAAGCAGAGACCGGGUAAUGAUGAUCAUUGUGGUGGCGUUGAUGGGCUUUGUUGCGCUUCUGCGUGCGCACACCAGGGGGAUGAACGGCUCUGCUCCCCAUGUGCUUGCACAUCCUCGAAUUAAUAACUUCGAUCUCGUGAAUUCUUGAAGGAUCAUUAUCACCUGGGGAGACUAGUCACGUCCGCGAUUUUUUUCUCAUUUUUGCGUUCAUCUCGGGCAUUGAAAUUCCCAGUUAUAAAUUUAAAGAAAUCUAGUCAAUUGAAUUAAUUAACUGAGUUGAAUAAUUGAUCGGUAAUAUUUCAUUCUGAGAUGGAUUAUUAUGUGGAAUAUCAUUCAGAGGUCUUAAGGGAUAAUUUCCCAGAGAUUCCUCGACCUUUUCCUCAAAUCCAUAUUUUAUUUAAGAUAUGCAAAUAAAAAAUGUUUCCCUCAAUAAAAAUUCCGAUGCUGGCACGUCAAUGUUUAAGGAUCAGUCCAAAUAAAGUCAUUUUACCGCACCACCACUGUAAUUUUUCGCGUAAGCACAUAGUUAAUCACCCGGAACCAUCUGUAUUAAUAGUUAAUCCCCACUGAAAAUUGUUCUCUCUUAAUUGGAAAGCAAAUAAGUUUUUUUCCCCAGAUAAAUAUCCAACUCUCGUUAAAAUCAUCGGGUUAAUUCGCCUGCGUGUUCUUCCGAUAUCACGUAAGGAUGUGCCUCCAGGUAAUGGGAUGGGGUGGAGUGACAGGGGGCUGGGGGACUAUGAAAAUUACACACCUUUCGAUUUCACAUCACCCGGAGGCAAAUCACACGAAUGAAUUCAACGCACACGAGAAAUAAGUGUUGUGAGAGUUGUAUUAGUUAUUCAAAGUGAAUUCAUUUGCGUGCUGUAAUCCAAUGUGUCAAUGGAAAAACCUGUCGUGAGGAUUUCCGACAGGUGGAUGGUUUAUCGUGGAAAUAAUUCAAGAGAUUUUUGCGCCAAUCGUCAA